UACAUGGGGUGCAAGCGUUGCUCGGAAUCAUUGGGCGUAAAGCGCGCGUAGGCGGUUAUUUAAGUUGGAUGUGAAAGCCCUCGGCUUAACUGAGGAAGUGCAUCCAAAACUGAAUAGCUAGAGUACGAAAGAGGGUCGCGGAAUUCCCGGUGUAGAGGUGAAAUUCGUAAAUAUCGGGAGGAACACCGGUGGCGAAGGCGGCGACCUGGGUCGAGACUGACGCUGAGGCGCGAAAGCGUGGGGAGCAAACAGG
rnacentral:rRNA from 1 species